GAGAGUUAAACAGUACGUGAAAUUGUUGAAAGGGAAACGAUUGAAGUCAGUCAUACUAACGGGAAAUCAACCUCUUGAGUUUGGUCUCGUGGGUUUCGAAGAGUUUAAAAGCCUUCGGAUUUUCGAGAUUGGGCUCUUCUGGUGUACUUUCUCGUACGGUUAGUCAACAUCGGUUUUGAAUGUCAUAAAAUGACUGGAGGAAUGUGGCUUCGAUCUCGUAUUGAAGUGUUAUAACCUUUGGUAGAUGUGAUGUUUGAGACCGAGGAUUGCAACGGAUACCCUUCUGGGCUAUUCGUCUGAUCUCUGAAACGUUGCCUUGAUGUCGAAAGCUUGCUUAUGAUGUUAGGGUAUUACGGUCAAAAGGUUAGAACGGAUUAAAUUCGUUAAGGAUGUUGACGUAAUGACUUUAAACGA
rnacentral:rRNA from 1 species